UACUGUGUAGAAGCGACAAAAAGCAGGCAUCUUCAUUUUGUUUUGGAUUGCAGGGGAAAAGCUUUCUGUCUUUCACCAUUGAACGACAUUAGGACUCCUCUGAGCCUCCAACACGCUAAUCUGGGCCACGGCCCUCUGAGGGGAGGAAUGAGACAAGGAAACUCGUUUGGUCUCAGAGCUCUUUAUAGGGAAGCAUCUCAAGAGACACUUGCAAGAUUUAUUUUUGGGCAACACCGAGGACCUCAGUAAAACGGGCUUCGAUGAAGAUGCCUCCCCCUGCCCGACCAUCUCCAGGGGGAGCCGUGUGAUUCAGGCCCGGCCACUCAAGCACCAAAAUAUCUUGGCUUCAGUGAUUGGCUCAAGAAGGACAGAUGACCCAAACGAGGCCAACAGGGCUAAUCCCCGGAGUUCACUGGAGUCACCAGUUUUCUGCUCUGGAAUUACUAGUGGGUGCGUGUCUGGCAGGAUCUGCCAGGAGUGCUGCCUAAGGAGGUGAUGCCUGAGGAGGGAGCUGACACAGGAGAGCAGACCUGAUGACGUUGUUCGAACUGUGCCAAAGACAGGUCCACCCCUGGACUUUUCAGUGAUCAUGAGCCAAUAAAUUACUUUUGUGUUGUUCUUGUCUUAAGCAAGUAUGAGUUGGGUUCCUUCCUUUGAAACGGAGAUCUAGCAAAGC